CUAUCUGAUCCAUACGGUGAUCCUGCUCUGUAAAUCUAGCCUCAUGAGAAGCCAAUUGCUGACUUAAAUCUGCGGGGUCCAUGGCCCUAUCGUAAUGUCAUGGUAGUUUACCCCUACACGCAAGAUUUAGUUCAACAAUCGACAGAUAGAGCAGAUACGGCUUACCGGACCUUAGAAUGGCCGGACUCGCCGUAUAUCAGAGAAUAGACAGAGUCAAG